rnacentral:tRNA from 13 species
UGGGGUGUAGCCAAGCGGUAAGGCAACGGGUUUUGAUCCCGUCAUGCGUUGGUUCGAAUCCAGCCACCCCAGCCA